AGUGUGAAUGGGGUUCAUUUUCAAGAUUUAAUCGACAUUCUUUGCACACAAAAUUAGAAAACGACGGGAAAUUAUUAAUUACGAGUAUUUUUAUGAUAAGUUCGUAAUCAGUAUUCGAAGGACUAAACAGUGUUUUUCUUUUAAAGAAUGUAUUAUAAUUAAGUAUUAUAAUGCUUUUAAUCUAUUGAAAAAGAAUAUCGGGGAGAAUUGAAUAUGUUGCACUAUUGGGCUGCAGCAUCUCGAGCACCACAAAUAAACUUACUUAACCUCCUUCUGCCUCAAACAAUGGUACAUUGAAGCCAGUCCACGUUAGUUUUACAUAAAGAAAGGGCACAUGUCCAACUAUCACAUUCAACACAAUACAAGAGCACGUGAACUACUUAGAGAUACAUCUGGAUCGCAGACAAAGCUGGAGGCCCGAGCCCCCAACAAUAAGGAUUGAGACUCGGUAAAAUAUAUUGGAUAAUAAGGCGCCGAAGAUAGUUGUCAAGGUCUACAAAGCGAUGUUGGAACCAAUAGGGAUGCAACUGUAGGGAGCAGUAUCCAAAUUCAACAUCAAAAUUCUAAGCAGGCAAGUACCCUUGAAGAAGAAGAAGAAAUAUCCAAUUUAUCCCAGAAAUACGUUCUAAGGCUUAGCAACCAUCCUAACCAUCUGGCAAAGAACCUAAUGGUACCACUCGGCGAAGGCAUUUAUUUUAUUCAAAAUUUUUUGCGUUUUAGUCUAAAAAGUUGUUGGGUAAUUUUUCCAUUUUACAUUGUAUUGCAUUAAUUUUGCGUCUCGGUGUAUUUUAUUCUUCUUAUGAUGGGAAUAUGCAAUUUUACUCUUGUACGUAGUUUUUACGCAUAUGUUUACCUGAUUGCGAAAUAAAAAAAAUCCACUUUCAAUUUUCCCUGUGACAUGUUUAUUAAUGAAAUUAGUGUCGAGCCGUUGGUUAAUAAAUAAAAAAAAAACGUAAUUAAUAACCAAUAGGCGCCGUUAUCUUAUUUUAGUUCCCCGCUAAUAUUUUUCAUGUUAAUAAAUUCAAAUCCUGUUUGUAAGCAUUUUGAAUUGCAGGCAGUAUCAUGAAUACAUUUAAUGAAAAUAAAUAAAAGCUUCAAUUAUUUAAUUCAUCGUCUGCAGCUUUUUCAAAUUUAAUUUGGUUUCUAAAAAUCUGUUUUUCUAUUUUGAAACCUAAUUUUUAUUAUGCCUUAAGACUGAAUCUUCCACUUAAUUUCUUGCCAAUGGAUUUUCUGAGCCUACUACGUGGGCGGCCUGAAAAGUUUUUAAGUGUAUUAUAGAGAUCAGGAGAAUAAUUUUGUGAAACUUUGCUACGCUUACAAACAGCUAUUAAAAAAAUAAAACGACUUCUGGAAUUGAACGACUACUUGAGGAAUUUCAAUGGGACAUUUUCGAGCACAUACCUUACAGUCCUGAUUUAGCACCGAGUAAUUUUCAUCUUUCCCUUGAAUUGAAGCAUUGGCUUUGAUUGCAGCGCUUCCAAACUAACGUGGAACUGAAAAAAACCGUCAAAACUCACUUCCAAUCAUUAGCGGAUACAUUUUAUGAAGAUGGUAUUGAGAAGCUUGUUCAAAGCUGUGCUGUAUUGUACCUAACUUUUGGUAAUAAAAACUUUUUUG